ACUCAAAUGAAUUGACGGGGCCCCGCACAAGCGGUGGAGCAUGUUGUUUAAUACGUCACUAACCGUAGAACCUUACCAGGGCUUGACAUGUGGCGCACCAGUCUGAAAGGACUGUCCUCCGCAAGGAGGCGCCAACACAGGUGUUGCAUGGCUGUCGUCAGCUCGUGUCGUGAGAUGUUGGGUUAAGUCCCGCAACGAGCGCAACCCUCAUCCCCUGUUGCCAGCGGGUCGAGCCGGGGACUCUGGGGAAACUGCCGGGGUAACUCGGAGGAAGGCGAGGAUGACGUCAAGUCAGCAUGGCCCUUACGUCCUGGGCUACAAACAUGCUACAAUGGACGGUACACAGAGGGACCCGAGGUCGCGAGACGGAGGCAAUCUCAGAAAUCCGUCCUCAGUUCGGAUCGCAGGCUGCAACUCGCCUGCGUGAAGCCGGAAUCGCUAGUAACCGCAGAUCAGCCAAGCUGCGGUGAAUACGUUCCCGGGGCUUGUACACACCGCCCGU
rnacentral:rRNA from 1 species